CCACCCUGACUGCAGCCCGAGAUAAAUGCAGCGCCAGGCUGCGCCCACCGCACCGCCGCCUGCUUUUUCCCCUCGGGGUUAGCAGGAGUGGGGCGGGGGUCCGGGCAGCCUCCACCCAGCAGCUGCUGUCGUUUGCUGGGGUCGUGCUGCUGUGCAGCCAUGGCAUCUAUGGGAAAACUGAGUUUUUCUCUCGUCGUUUUGCUCAGGGAGGAGAGAGGUGGUGCAGGGGAGCAUUUCAGAGUCUUCUUCAUCACCGUUGCCCAAAAUGCUGACAGUGGCGCCAAGUGAACACAGCACGGCUGGUGGGGCAGGAGGGAGCUGAGCCCCCCAUCUGCUCCUCCAUCCCUGUGGGGUUCCUAAGGGUGUUCCCAGGGGGUUCUGUGCAGGAGGCAUGGCCACCAGCCUCCAGAGGACUGUUGUACAGCAUGAGACCAGCACACAACAUGACAACAUGGCACAACAUUUGACCACUGCACUACGUGGGACCAUUGCACAGCAUGAGGUCACUCCACAACCUGAGACCACUGCACUACGUGACACCAUUGCACAGGGUGAGACUAUUGUACCACCUGGGAUCACUGCACUACAUGCGACCGUUGCACAUCCUGAGACCACUGCCCUAAGUGAGAGCACUGCACAGCCUGAGACCACUGCACCACGUGACACCGUUGCACGAAGUGGGACCAUUGUGCAACCUGGGACUGCUGCACAACACGACACCAUUGCACAGCAUGGGACCACUGCACAGCCUGAGAACAUUGCAUGAGGUGUCUGCAGGCUCAAAGAGCAGCGAGAAGCGUUCAGAGGAAAGCGAUCCCGUGCCACCUUCCCCGUGCCCGGGCUGUCCCCGCACGCUGCGGGCUCCGGCUCGGGGAUGCGGGGGGAGCGUCGGGCCGGAGCGGAGCCCCGGGCGGCUCGCUGCUGCCCCCUAGCGGGAGAGGGACGCAAUUACAGCCCCGGGGGCUUUGGGGGGGGGCUCUCCCCAUGAGCUCCCGCGGACGCCCCCUUCCAGGACCUUCCAGGAAAGCCUGCUUCUUUUCUUCAACCUUUCGGCACUUUCUUCCUUUUCCUGAGGCUCUAAGUAAGGUCUCCGGGAGAGGGCACUCGGCCGAGUGGUUUCCUGGAGGCGUUUUGCAGAGGAGGUGCAGCGGAGCCGCCGUGGAUUGAAGGAUGCUGAGCACAGAGCCGUCCCCAGCCCAUAGCACAGCCGCUGGGCUUCAGGCUGUGUGUGCGCCUUCAUGAUUUCACUUUGGGGCUGAGGAACGUGAAGCCUGCACCCGAUUCUCAGGCCUGAGCUGCAGGGACAGCUGUGGGACAGGAGAGGGAAUGCCUGAAAUCACACAACUGUAGGGAUUGGAAGGGACCUCUAAUGAUCAUUGAGUCCAACCCCCCAGAUGUUGAGCAGUGCCAUAGCCAGCCCUGUUCCCUGCAGGCAGCUGUCCUGCUUUCAGCUGGGAUAGAAUUCAUGCUCUUCCUGGCUGCUGCAAUGGAGCUCCUUAGGAUUUAGGAUGGGAAUAAUGCUGAUAACACAGACAUGUUUGGUCUAUCACAGAGCAGUGCUUACACAAGCCAAGGAUGUUUCAGCUUCUCACACUGCCCUGCCAGCACCAUGCUGGGAGGAAAGAGCCCUCACCCCAGCAGGGAGCUCUGUGUGCCGAUGGCUCAGCGCACGCUGGGGUAUCCAGGCCAGCUUUGGGACAGGUAAUUCCAGCUUCACCAGUACAACACUGGUUUUCAGGCAUCAGAAACAACUGUUAGACAAACAUCUCCGUGGGGUGAAUGAGGCAUGAGAGCCUCGUUUGAUUAAAAUGAUGUGUUCCUACACCAGGUUCAGCCCAGCCAGGUGCUAAGUGCUGCAGUACCUGUGCUGGGUGGGCUCAUGCUAACAGCUGGCAACAAGGAAUUCCUGCAAACACCCCAUUUUCUGGAGCUUGAAAACCUAAGUUUAAAAUGUUUAUUCCCAACUCCAAGAAAGGGAAAAGAAAAUAUAUAAGUUAAGGCAAUCUGUCUGCUUUCACUUCAGCCACUAAAUCCAGAUUUAUGGCUUAAUUUAAGGUACCCAGCUUUUUAUCCUUUUAUUAGCUCCCAUUCCCCCACAGCCUCCCUCUCCUCACCCACCUGUUUCCCAUUCCCGCUCUCUGUUAAUAUUGGAUUUCCUUUUUAUGUCCCCAAAGAGAGCCCUCGCAGAGCACAGUGCAGCAGUGAGUGCGCAGAGCAGGAACUGCAGUGCAUGCCUGUUGCUCUGCUAAUCACCCCGUGCUCAAAGCAGCGUUCGGAUGCCCACGCAGGCAAAGGAAGGCAGUGAGCACAGCAGAUCCUGUGCCGUCUCUGUAGGUUUGGCUGGAGGACAUCAGUGCCGCCCAUCUCUGUGCCUUCACCAUCCCGUCCCAUCCUGCUCCCCCCAUCGCUGCUCCCAGUGGUGUUGUGUCAGGCUGAAAUCUCCCCGGUCAGCUCACACUGAAGGAGUUUUUGGGGAGCCCAAAUCCCCUCCCUGUGGUCAUGUUUUUCAUCACAUCUGUCCAGCAGCACAGAGCUGAGCUCUGCAUGCAAGCCCCAUGGGCUGUAAAGGACCACAAUGCUCAUCCAGUUCCAGCCCCCCUGCUGUGUGCAGGGUCACCGACCACCAGACCAGGCACAUUGCAAUGGGGCAGCACUGCACUCUGCUGCAGUGUAAAUGCCCCAUUGCACAGUGGGGCAGUCCUCGGGCACUGGCUUGAGCAAAUGCUGAGGAUGCUGAGCAGCUCUGUGCUGCUGCACUGCUCUCCCAUCUCCCGGUGCUCUGCCUCAGACCUUUCCUUCUGAAUUUUGCUUUAAAGCUCGGCAGCAGCUCUGCCUCCCAGCACAGCCACUCCCUGAGCUCCACACGGAGCUCCUCUUCCACACUGCUUUGUUCUGCACGGCCCCUUGGAUCAGCCAUCAAACACUGUGCUGCCCUGGGUGCUGCGCCCCGCAGGGACCACAGCCUGCCAUCAUGCGAAGUGUGGAAUGGAAGAGAGCUGAGGGAGGCACAGAAGGAAGCAGUGUGCUGCACGAAAUCAGCAUCACUCAGCCCAAACCUCUCACCUGCCUCGUGUCUUCUGGGUGCGACAGAACGAAAACACAAUAAAUAAUAGCAAUGAGAGCCCGGGGGUGUGGGUUCCUGGAUGCUCGGCCCAGCCUGGCACUGACGUGUGACUGCCAGCAAAUCCCUCUGCUGGGUUUCAGCACCUGGUCCACGAGGCACAUUUUUUAAUUUAAUUGAUUGCUUGGUUUGGAGUCGGUACCCAAAGCACGCUCCUCCAGUGCGUGAGGGGAAUCACAUUGCCAAACAGCUUCAGGAUCCAGAGAAACAAAUGGCUCCAGCAAAACCCAGCUGUGUUCCACUCCUUAAGAGCUGUGCUUCGCACCCUCCCCGUUUCUGCUCACAGGGCUGGGAGCCCAGAGCAGCUCAGACACCACCUCCCCAUGGAGGCUGCCAAGCAGAGCAAGCAGCCUGCAUCCUUCCUGCUGCUGGGCCAGGGGCUGCACGCCGGGCUCUCCAUCCCCUUCUUCCUGCUGUACAUUGCAGCACUCCUUGGCAACCUUCUCCUCCUGUUUGUCACUGUGAUGGAGCGAAGCUCCAUCUGGGAGCCCCAAUACAGGAAAGACAGGGAGCUGUUGGAGAGGGUCCAGAGGAGGCCACAAAG
ensembl:lncRNA